rnacentral:lncRNA from 1 species
GGUGGAGUGAGGGCGGACCGGCCCUGGUGGGGGCCGCAGUCGAGGUCCGCAGUCUCCUCGGGGUCGAAAUCGGGCAUCAGCGCCGUUUAGAGAACACCGUCCUGCUGGGCAUGGCCGGGAUGCGAAGAUGGCCCUGCAACGCACCUCCUAGAAUUUGGUUACCUAGAAAACCAUGUGGAAUAAAACGACGAGGCUUAUGAUAUUUAAAAGACUUCUGCAUCGAAUUGGUGUUAUCAUAAGGGUUAUUUUAAUAACUGGCAUUCUCUAAGUUUCUACACGUGUUGGGGGAUGCAGUGCCGUGCCACAUUUCCCGUCUCCAGCAAGCGCAGUCAGAUUGGCGACAUCGCAGGCAAGAGGCAGGGCUGGGGCUCCCACCCGAGAAGUAAUUGUCUCCAAAGUUGGACUUUUGCCACUGGUUCUGCGACUUCAUGCAAUGCCAGGGAGAGCCCCUUGAUUUCCCCCAAAUCCUCAUCAGCCUCUUUCCACCCAAGCCCAGAUGAACAGUACUCAUCUACUCACCUGAGGAUUAUGAGGAUUAUGAGUUUUAUGGAGCAAAAUUUGCCUAGAACAGGUUGUCAGCUUCUGUGGACACAGUCUUCUACCCUCAGAAAUCCCAUUGGAAGAAAGAACAAAUGAAGCAUCCCAAGGACUGGAGGAUUCUCUUCCCCCAGGGUAUUCAAGGAAGACACUGGGGAACAAAUUGAACAAAGUUUAUUUCAUCAACAAUGAAAAAUGCCCAGAAGGAAAUGAAGCACAAGAUUCAGUUACACAAAGAUGAAAGCUAUUGACCACUUGGCCACUUCUCAUACUAAAAGAGAAGGAAAUAACACGAAGUACUGGAAGUGACAUUAUAUUGUCCUCAUGGUGACAACCAGGAUGGGCCUGACAUAAGCCAGUCCAGGCUGUAUGUGUGGCCCGAGUGCACACAUGCGGUUUCUCUGGCCACCGAAUCAGAACCAGCUGGGCCCCACAAGUCAGUCUCUGGGGGCUGUGAUUCUGCAUUGCAAACAAGUCCUUGGGUAGCUCUCAGGGUUCACCAAGAUUUGAGAACCACUAGUGUGGCUGACUCCAGUGAAACAGUCCCACUUUUACUGCUUUCAACUGUCAUUUAUAUAGAUUCAGGCAAAGAAUGGUUUUUAGAAUGAUGCCCGAUGUAGCAAAUAAAAUGAUCUCAACAUAUA